rnacentral:rRNA from 1 species
GAUGAACGCUGGCGGCGUGCCUAACACAUGCAAGUCGAGCGUGAACCCUGCGAAUGAAACUUCGGUCGAUUUUGCAGGGGGAAAGCGGCGGACGGGUGAGUAACGCGUAGGUAACCUGCCCCAUACUGAGGGAUAGCCUCGGGAAACCGGGAUUAAUACCUCAUAACACCGUAUAUUCGCAUGGAUGUGCGGUCAAAGAUUUAUCGGUAUGGGAUGGGCCUGCGUCUGAUUAGCUGGUUGGUGGGGUAACGGCCUACCAAGGCGACGAUCAGUAGCCGACCUGAGAGGGUGAUCGGCCACAUUGGAACUGAGACACGGUCCAAACUCCUACGGGAGGCAGCAGUGGGGAAUAUUGCACAAUGGGCGAAAGCCUGAUGCAGCAACGCCGCGUGAGCGAAGAAAGGCCUUCGGUUGUAAGCCUGUCUUAUGGGAGAAGUCAGUGACGGUACCAUAGGAGGAAGCACGGCUAACUACGUGCCAGCAGCCGCGGUAAG